CUGAUGGCUACAACCCAGCAACUUGGAUGCUUGAGGUUACUACUCCUACCGUUGAAGAAAGGAUUUGUGAAGAUUUUGCUGAGUUAUAUGAAAAUUCUGAGCAAUACAGGGAGAGGUGGAAGCUUCAAUUAUGCAUUUCAGUGCUCCGCCUGCAGGCUCAGAACCAUUAAAGUUUGUUUCUACAUAUUCACAAGAUAUAUCGACUCAGUUUGGGAUUUGCCUUAGGAAACAAAAUCUUGUAUACUGGAGAAGUCCACAAUACAAUGCCGUGAGGAUAUUUUUUACUGUAUUAGCUGCAUUUAUAUUAGGCUCAGUGUUUUGGAAAACUGGUUCAGAAAGGGACUCUACUCAAUCUUUGUUUAUUGUCAUGGGAGCUCUAUACUCUGCCUGUCUGUUUCUUGGGGUCAAUAAUGCUUCCUCAGUGCAGCCAAUAAUUUCUAUUGAGAGGACGGUGUUCUAUAGAGAAAAGGCAGCUGGAAUGUACUCUCCAUUAGCCUAUGCCGCAGCACAGGGUCUUGUGGAAGUACCAUACAUCAUUUUGCAAACAAUUUUAUAUGGAAUUAUCACAUAUUUCAUGAUUAAUUUUGAAAGGACGGGCGGCAAAUUUUUCCUCUAUUUGUUGUUCAUGUUCCUUACUUUCACCUACUUCACAUUUUAUGGAAUGAUGGUUGUUGGUCUC
rnacentral:misc_RNA from 1 species